rnacentral:rRNA from 1 species
UCCUACGGGAGGCAGCAGUGAGGAAUAUUGGUCAAUGGGCGAGAGCCUGAACCAGCCAAGUCGCGUGAGGGAGUACUGCCCUAUGGGUUGUAAACCUCUUUUGUCGGGGAGCAAAAGCCGGACGUGUCCGGCUGUGAGAGUACCCGAAGAAAAAGCAUCGGCUAACUCCGUGCCAGCAGCCGCGGUAAUACGGAGGAUGCGAGCGUUGUCCGGAUUUAUUGGGUUUAAAGGGUGCGCAGGCGGAUUUUUAAGUCUGCGGUCAAAUCGUGG